rnacentral:misc_RNA from 1 species
GAUGAAGAACGUAGCGAAAUGCGAUAAGUAGUGUGAAUUGCAGAAUUCAGUGAAUCAUCGAAUCUUUGAACGCACAUUGCGCCCUUUGGUAUUCCAAAGGGCAUGCCUGUUCGAGCGUCAUUUGUACCCUCAAGCUUUGCUUGGUGUUGGGCGUCUUGUCUCUAGCUUUGCUGGAGACUCGCCUUAAAGUAAUUGGCAGCCGGCCUACUGGUUUCGGAGCGCAGCACAAGUCGCACUCUCUAUCAGCAAAGGUCUAGCAUCCAUUAAGCCUUUUUUUCAACUUUUGACCUCGGAUCAGGUAGGGAUACCCGCUGAACUUAAGCAUAUCAAUUAAGCGGAGGA